CUCCUACGGGAGGCAGCAGUGGGGAAUUUUGGACAAUGGGCGAAAGCCUGAUCCAGCCAUGCCGCGUGAGUGAAGAAGGCCUUCGGGUUGUAAAGCUCUUUCAGUUGGGAAGAAACGAUUACAACUAAUAAUUGUAAUUAAUGACGGUACCGACAGAAGAAGCACCGGCUAACUACGUGCCAGCGCCGCGGUAA
rnacentral:rRNA from 1 species